rnacentral:rRNA from 1 species
UACGGAGGGGGCCAGCGUUGUCCGAAGUUACUGGGCGUAAAGCGCGCGUAGGCGGGUUGGUAAGUCCGCUGUGAAAGCCCGGAGCUUAACUCCGGAGGGUCGGUGGAUACUGCCAGUCUUGAAGGUGCUAGGGGGAGAUGGAAUUACCGGUGUAGCGGUGAAAUGCGUAGAUAUCGGUAGGAACACCAGUGGCGAAGGCGGUCUCCUGGGGCAUUCUUGACGCUGAGGCGCGAAAGCUGGGGGAGCAAACGGG